AUGUCUGCGACAAAGGGAGAUGUGCGGACGAGCAGCAGAGAGGUCGGUAAAGGUUACGCCGUGGACUAUCCGCCCAGCGUGUGGGGUGACUAUUUCAUCAAGAACCCCACGCUGCCACAUACUCAUGAGAUGUCCGUGGAAUGGAUGAUAGAAAGACGUGACAAACUUGUCAUCGAAGCAAGGGAGAUGUUACUCGCUACAUGCAGUCCGUUUGCUGAAAUGAAGAUGAUUGAUGCACUUCAGCGUCUUGGGGUUUCUUACCAUCUUGAAGAGGAGAUCAACAUGAAACUGCAAAAACUUUUGUUUCGAGAAUUCGACACAGACUGUUUCCAUGAAAUCUCACUUCAGUUCAGGUUGUUAAGGCAAGGACGUUGCUACAUGUCUUGCGAUGUAUUCAAAAGCUUCGUGAACAGCCAAGGAUGUUUGAAAGCCUCUAUUCAAAGUGAUCCACAAGCUCUGCUUGCACCCUAUGAGGCAACUUUUCUCCGCACUCCAAACGAAAGUUUUCUCCAUGAGGCCCAAGAGCAGACAACAAGUCUUUUGAGAUCAAUUGUUGACCAUCUAGAAAAACCACUUGGGGAUGAAGUCAGACAUGUUCUUAAGACACCAUCUUUUCGUAGGAUGAAAAGGCUGGAGGCUAGGCUAUAUAUCCCUCUUUACCAAGAAAAUAAGGAGUGUAGUGGAAUGCUACUUGAACUUGCGAAACUGGAUUUCUAUUUGCUCCAACGCAUUCAUCGACAAGAAGUCAAGGAAAUAUGCGAGUGGUAUUAUGGACUGGAUUCCCCCAAAAAAUUAUUCUACGCAAGGCACAGGCAAGUGGAAACAUACAUGUGGGUGCUUGGAAUAUGCUAUGAACCACAAUAUGCGAAAACUAGAAUAUUGUUUACAAAAUAUACAUCAACUAUGACACCAUGUGAUGACACUUUUGACAACUAUGGUGUGUGGGAAGAGCUACAACCUUUCGUCGAUGUGGUGCAAAGGUGGAACAUGGAGGACCUUGGGCAACUGAAAGAAUGCUACCAGGACUUUGCCCGUUUUAUCUUCGGUACCAUGAUUGAAAUUGAGAAUGCACUUCCAAUAGAGACAGCAAGCAGGGAUAUUAAAUUAUUAAGAGAUUUGACAAAUGAAGCAUGCAAAUCUUAUCUCACUGAAGCUGCUUGGAAAGAUAGCCAGUACAUUCCUACCUUAGAGGAGCAUUUGAAGGUCACGGGCGUUUCAACCUGUUACAAGGCUAUGAUUGGCCUUGCUUUUGUUACAAUUGAAGAGAAUCUUCCAGAGGAGAUUCUACUGUGGAUGUCGAAGUAUCCUCAAAUUAUCAAGGACACAUGUUGUAUAUGUCGCCUCAUGGAUGAUAUUGUUUGCCCGAGUGAAGUAGAAGAGCAUAAUGUCGCCACUACAGUUGCCUGCUACAUGAAAGAGUAUGGGGCAACGAAAGAGGUCGCAACUGAAGCUCUUUGUAAGAUUGUGGAUGAUGCGUGGAUAGAUAUGAACAAGGAGUAUCUCACAUUGACAUUGAUACCAUCAUCGCUACUAAUGAUAGUAAUUAACCAUGCCCGGGUGAUGGAGACCAUGUACAAGAAGGAAGAUGGAUACAAGAACACAUCAAUUCUGAAAGAAGAAAUAUCUAUGCUGCUUGAGAAGCCAAUUCCUUUCUAG
rnacentral:rRNA from 1 species